CAUUUCCACUCUGUCUAAUGCAUAUAUAGACAGAGGGAGCUAAGCAAUAGUAAAUUGCAGUAAUUGUAACAAUGGCGUCCUCUUCUUGUUUGAGAGCAGAAAACGUCUUUUCUCACACCAUCUCCAAGUUUAAGCAUUCAAAUGGAAAUGGAAAUGGAAAUGGGAGCAUCCGUUCUCCUCCAAUCUCAUCGUUUUCUCUGCUUUCCUCUUCUCCUAUCUUCUCUCCAAAAUCUCCUCUUUUGAAAACCUCACUUUCUCACUCUCUCUCCAUCAAAGCCUCCUCUUCUUCGUCUUCCACUGCCAUCGCCGA
rnacentral:misc_RNA from 1 species